GCGAGCCAGAGGUAGGGAGGAGGCAGCGAAGGAGGCAGCUCUCCUCCUGAGUCUCCAUCCCAGAGAAGACAGAGAGGAAGAAGACCGAGAGAAAUCGACAGUCCCGCUUCGCUGCAGCAUCCCAUUAGCUCCUGAAGUUAAAACCAAGACGUCCACUGUGAGGUCAAGAGGACACGUUUUGCCAUGAAGACUGUUGGCUGUGACUGAACCUCAGAAGACUCAACACAGAGGAUCCUUCAGGAGUUGAUGCGGAGACCUGCGACACCGGGAGCCUGAACACUGCCGUCCAUGUUCACCUGACACCGAGGAUGUGUUUCCGAUAACACAGUGUGCAGAUAAAACACCCACCAACGUGAACCCUCACUCAUCAUGCUUCCUUCCAUUUAACCGAACCAACUAAAAUCUUUUCCAUGGCUUUUCUCUUUGAUAAGCCUCUGCUUACUGCUUAGUCAAAGUAUCACCAGAGCAUAUACGUUUUGUAUAUAAAAUCUUAAUUUCAAAGUAUUUUGCGCAGGUUAUACAAUUACUCGCAAAUAAAGGUACAAUAUAGUCCUCUGAAAUGUACUGUAAUUGAAACGUAGCAAAUAUGGAAGUAAAGUACAUGAGGUGGAAGAAGUAUUCAGAUAUUUUGCUUAAAAGUAGCAAUACUGCAAUAUAAAAGUCAUGCAGUAUAAAUCCUACUUAAGUAUAAAAAUGUAAUUAUCAGCAGUAAAAGUGAUUCACUAUAAUAAUGCAUCAUUAUUUACAACAGUAUUCAGGUCCUUUAUUUAAGUAAAAGUACGAAUGCCAGGAAGCUGUACUUAAAGUAGCAAAAGUAAAAGUACUAGCAUUUCAAUGUUGCACCUGGUUGAAGUGUAAUCAAUUUUAUGAUUAGUUCAUAAGAGAGCAUCGUAUUUUAUGAGAUGUAACAUCUUUAUUUGCACAUUAGAUAGUAAUUACAGCUGCCAAAUAAAUGUGUUCAUUUUAUAUUUUCAGAUUAUGCUUUCUGUCAAAUACAUAACAAAAUGGCACUCCCUACAAUCAUUAAACCAAGUGUAUUGAAAUCCAACCUUUUUUGCAGACUAAUUAGUAAGGCUUUAAUGUAAUCUGCUACCUCAGUGCUCACUCCUCGUGCCAUGAGGCCUCAAUGAGGAGUUGCGAGGAUCUGCAGGUCCUUUCUUCGGUGUGUCAGCUCCCCACCACCACACUUCUCCACUUCCCCACCCUCGGUGCACCACAGUUGCAUUAUUAAACUUGUAAAAGAUCAUUAGCAUACAAAGCAGGAAACCUACCGCUGUGGAGUCAUACAUAUUUAUCUGGACGUGCCUGACUUGUGCGUGCAUACGCUCGUACUGUAACCCCUUUACACACAGGCGUGACUGUCUUUCGUGCUGCAGGAGAGCUGAGAACAGACACUAUGAAGAGGAUGUUACUAGAAGCACGCACAGUUUUAAGGGAUAGAUAUUUAUUCAUGCAACAUCUGAAGAAAGACGAGCUGGCAUUUGCCAUGAACUUCACAUUAAAACAUGUGCAGCUGCCUGUAAGACCGAGAAAAUGUGUGUAUUUGGAAACAGAGCAGAUGGAGCUUGGUUAGGUUCAUCAAAGCAGUUUGCUUCAAGCAUAUCAAAUAUAGUUUACACACAGAGGAAUUUCGGUCUAGUAAUGCCUGCAAUACAUAUUCAUGUCCUGCACUCAGAAGCACAUAAUCAAACAGAGAGAAAGACAAACAGAGGACAUGGUCUUAUAAAUACUUGUAUCACCUGCGGGCUACCUCUGAUUUUUGAAUGACUAUGAAAUCAGCUCCUUUUCUGUCUCCUUCCCUUGUUCCCUUCCUCUACAAAUCCUCUUUUUUUUUUCAACCAUUACCAACUAUUCUUGAUGAGAGGACAACCCCUCCUUUUUUCCUGCGACUUGGAGUCCACCGUUACUAUUCCCUCCUUCCUCCCUCCUUCUCUUUCCUCCCUCCUGUGAGAUUGCUGUUGUGUCUUAUGGCUUUUUAUUCCUACGUGAUGGUAGAUGGGUUCAUGUAGGAGUAGAAGCCACUAAACACGCGGUGAGUGCUCAACACGCUGGCCAACACACACAGCGAGCUUCCUGUGGAUAUGACAGCUGCCAUGUUCACAUUAAUGGUCCCGCCCAUUAUCAAGAAUAUGCACACAGUAAAAAUAGUAUGGGGUAGUCACUGCAGGGAGUGGCUACUGUUUCAGGUUAUCAUUUCAUACCAGAUUUGUAAUGUGAAAAAUGUUAAAUUACUUCUUCAAAUGGUUAUAUUGCCUAAUUGAACAGUCGGUUUUAGGACAAUAGAGCACAAUGGUGCUGUUCGUGUGGGCUGACAAAUCAAUUUCAAGUUGUGAAUAGACCUACUUUUUCACAAAGGUUUCCCACCUGCAUGCUGGCUCAACGUGCCCUGAAUUUAAAACUCAUUCCUGCAUUCCUCUACCCCGAGGUCGCUGUGCAAAACUGGAGCUGGAUAGUUCUCAAAAUAGAGAUCAGGAGGAGUGGAUGCCACAAUUAAAAUGAAACAACUUGCAGAGGUAGGUCAUCUAUGUUGUUUGAUAAUGUGCAGAAUGUGAAGGGACCUUCUAUCUUCUAUGAGAACUUACAGAAACCUGUUACGGGAUACUCUGUGACACGUUAAUGACCUACAAAAGUGUGAAAAUAAUACCUCUCUUGUGAAUUUAUUACCCUUAAUACACAUUUCACUAAUAAAAAAUCCUAUUUUGGACAUAUUUAGAAAUAUUGCAUAUCACAAAUCACAAAAUCAACUUCAUGUGCCAUUGCUGUCCUGUAAAAACUGGGCAUCUCCAAAACGACAACAUUUCAUGAGCUAAGCUUUGUGAUUUCUUUAUUCCAGAAACUCCAGUGGUUUUUAUAUAGUUUACUUUGUUUAAACCUGUAUUAACUGAGUUUUUGGUUACUUGAGAGCAUCAGAAAAAAGCUGUAAAGUUGUGUUUGUGUCCACCUUAGAAGUGCAAGUUCAAUAUUUGAUCAACUAUUAGCUCUGUUUUGGUCUCCACCAACUCCAUAGACUAAUACAUGGCUGCUAAAUGCUGCACCAUGUUCAUCAGCUAGUUAUUGUCUAUGUCUAUGUUUGGUAAGCAGUUAGUGUAAAGUCCGUUUUUGAUUGUGGUUUUUACUGGAUAGCAACUGUAUGUUUUGUUUUUUUUGUUAGUUUGUUUUGUUAUUUUUGUCAAUUCAUACUUCCACUUGGUUUUUGGUCAUCCAUUUCACAUGUACUCUUUGUAAGGACUCUUCUUCAUCAGAACAACACUGUUCCUGUAAAGCUUUUAGCACCAGCCUGAAAAAUGUAACUCAGCUCAGUGCAAACCCCUUAAAUUCGUGUCCAAUCAUAAAUUAGGUCCAGGACAACUCAAAAUAGCCUAUAAUGGUAUUCAUCUGUAGUAACUUUCUGCCUGAAAUGAACUUGGUACCAACCAAUUAAGCAAGAUAUUCAAAUGGUCCUGCUUGUGUAAGGGUCCCGUUGGGUGCUGAGGGGUUUGGGUUUAAAUGUCAACCCUCUGUUUGUAAUUGCUGUAAAAUAAGCUCCUCGUUUUCUCCUCCUGAGCAGAAUCUGAAUAAUGCCUAAAUGGGUUGUUGUCGUAAACCAGAAACUGAAUUAUUAAUCCCUGGAUAUUACAAGAAUUUGACAAAUGCUUGCAAUUGUGUGACAUUACUUCUGUGUCGAUAUGAGGGGGGGAUAAUUAUUCAAGAUGAAAUUGCAAUUGAUAUGGUCUACUAAGGUUUAAUGAUUUAUUCAAGGCUGUAAGUUGUUAUGAUCUAAAAUUCAGCGGGGUGGAAUGGGAAGUUUCUUUGGCUUGCAUUUUUCGGUUUAAUUUAUUUUUCAGGGUUCUCACUCCGACAGAGAGUUCUUUGUAGAGACAUGAGGAGGUCUGAGAGAAUAGUAGAGCAGGAAAGACACAUGAGAGGAAGCUGAGAGGAUUCGAUUCUGGACCAGUGGGGGUCCGUGGGAAUCGAAAGGUGGGAAUCAACCAUCACCGUAUCAGUGAGAAAGAGCCUGCAUUAUUUAAAACAGCUUGGCAUAUGAAGGGGAAGUUCUGUUUGAAUAGAUUGUUGCCAUCCUCUGUUUCGCCCAAGGUUGUGUACGCCUUUUGACUCUGCUGUAAACCUCAUAUUCUCAAAAUGUCAAAAUGUUCAGCGAAGUAAGACUCAUUUUCACUUCAAAAGCCAUAAAAAAAAUUUAAAUUAUGCAAUUGGGUCCUCGGGUUAUGAAACUUGAUUGAGCUGUACAAGGUCACAUAAUCAUCAAGUUCAGGUAAAAACAUGAAAAUUGUCAGAAAUGGAGUAAUGGGAUUUUUCAUCUGACAGCUGCGAUAAUGUAGCGUGUUUGUGUACAGUGAGUGCUGAGCUACUGUAUCCACCUCCCUCAGGCUACACUUUCUUUCUGUAAUAAAUAAUGCUCUUUUGUGUUCUCUGCUUCAUUUGUUCCCUGUUGUAACGUCAGUGCUGCUCAAUAAAUUAUGAAUCACGUAUGUUCAACCUGCCGCAUAUCUCUUGUUUCAUUUGUCUGUCAAACUCUGUUUGUGUGUGUGUGUGUGUGUGUGUGUGUGUGUGUGUUUCUAAUGCCACACGCAGGCACACCCCAAAUGUACACACCAAUAAACAUGAGAUUUCUCUGGAUAUAAUAAAAUACAGAUCGGUUUAUGAGUACAUGUAGCUAAGUAAGGAGUACAAAC